ACGAACGCUGGCGGCGUGCUUAACACAUGCAAGUCGAGCGGUAAGGCCCUUUCGGGGUACGACGAGCGGCGAACGGGUGAGUAACACGUGGGUGACCUGCCCUCAGCUCUGGGAUAAGCCUGGGAAACCGGGUCUAAUACCGGAUAUGACUCCAUGACGCAUGUUGUGGGGUGGAAAGCCUUGUGCGGCUGAGGAUGGGCCCGCGGCCUAUCAGCUUGUUGGUGGGGUGAUGGCCUACCAAGGCGACGACGGGUAGCCGGCCUGAGAGGGCGACCGGCCACACUGGGACUGAGACACGGCCCAGACUCCUACGGGAGCAGCAGUGGGAAUC
rnacentral:rRNA from 1 species